rnacentral:misc_RNA from 1 species
UUUGGUGUUUCUAGACCGACGGAUAAUGCUAACCUCAAGGAACAUACCGCGUCAUAGCAUGGCUAUCUGGUUACACUGUCUGUAUCUCUUCGGGUUUGUCUCAUGUUUGGAAAGACAGUGGAUAUGUCUGAAGACUCCGCCCUCAAGCUUCCGGGAACUUCACACUUCCUGUUCCGGUUCACAGUGUUACUCCUUACAUCUCUUCUCAUGUUACAACGAGGACUGCUGUACCUUGAAUUCGUAUGAUGGAACCAGAAACUUCACUGUCUUUGGACGAGGAAGGAACUUGAGCAUUGUACCUGAUAUCCAAAUUAAUGAGGCUUCCGGUUUAGCAGCCAGCCGGCUACAUCCAGGGGUACUGUAUACACACAAUGACAGCGGGGACCGGGCGCGGAUCUUUGCCUUGGACUCGGAGGAUGGGCGGAUGUUGGCGCAGUAUCAGGUACUUCCGGCCGAUCAUCACGACUGGGAAGACAUGGCCGUCGGCGUGUGUCCGUCCGAGGCUGGGUCUUGUAUAUACAUAGGCGAUAUUGGCGGUAAUUAUGGUACUACGGGAAGUGUGAAGAACAUAUACGUAGUGAAGGAACCUGACGUCAUAUCCGGUGAUGGAACAUUGAACCUUCUAGCAAAGGUUCACUACAACUGGAAUGUGUACGACAUAGAGACACUCAUGGUGGAUCCCUCUGGCGAUGUAAUCCUGAUCUCCAAGGUACAGGGAGGGCGUGGUCAAGUGGGCAUCAUUCCAUCAGAGGCAUUCAACACCUCUCACAGUUCCUAUAAUAUAACGAGCUCCCUCACACUAAAUAUUCCCAAGACGGACAAUGUUGACCCUUUGGGUGGUGACAUAUCCCCCAACGGUCGAGAGGUAGUGCUCCGUACUCAUCACAAGAUCUACUACUGGAUGGUCAGCAAUGGCGAGUACCUUAGUACACUGAACAAUACUGAGCCCACUGAAGUACCCCAGAUAAAUGAGCCUCAGGGGGAGGCGGUGGCUUGGGAUGCCCGAGGGGAGGGGUACUACACCCUCAGUGAGCGGGAAAAACAACCACUGUACUACUUCAGGCGCCUACUCUAAAUUGACACUAGGCCACUAUUACUACACAAAGACAGAAUACAAAUGUCAAACUGUCAUGGCAUUUAAUAAUCAUGUUUACAAUGUACACAAAUAAAAAUAAUGUAGCAUAUAUAUUUGAAUAAAUCUUUUCAAUAGUUUU